rnacentral:rRNA from 1 species
AUUGAACGCUGGCGGCAGGCCUAACACAUGCAAGUCGAGCGAGCGGCGGACGGGUGAGUAAUGUCUGGGAAACUGCCUGAUGGGGGGGGAUAACUAGUGGAAACGGUAGCUAAUACCGCAUACCAUCAGAUGUGCCCAGAUGGGAUUAGCUUGUAGGUGGGGUAACGGCUCACCUAGGCGACGAUCCCUAGCUGGUCUGAGAGGAUGACCAGCCACACGGGAACUGAGACACGGUCCAGACUCCUACGGGAGGCAGCAGUGGGGAAUAUUGCACAAUGGGCGCAAGCCUGAUGCAGCCAUGCCGCGUGUAUGAAGAAGGCCGUCGGGUUGUAAAGUACUUUCAGCGAGGAGGCGUUACUCGCAGAAGAAGCACCGGCUAACUCCGUGCCAGCAGCCGCGGUAAUUC